rnacentral:misc_RNA from 1 species
UACGGAGGGUGCAAGCGUUAAUCGGAAUUACUGGGCGUAAAGCGCGCGCAGGUGGUUUCUUAAGUCUGAUGUGAAAGCCCACGGCUCAACCGUGGAGGGUCAUUGGAAACUGGGAGACUUGAGUGCAGAAGAGGUAAGCGGAAUGUGGCAUGUAGCGGUGAAAUGCGUAGAGAUGUGGAGGAACACCAGUGGCGAAGGCGACUUUCUGGUCUGUAACUGACGCUGAGGCGCGAAAGCGUGGGGAGCAAACAGG